AUGUCUUAGUUACUUGUUUAAUUCAUGCUUAAUUCUCUAUCUCGGCUAUACUAACCUUCAACGAUCUGUAUUCGGUGAUCAAUUUCGAGAUAAAUCAAGUUUGGGCAGAGAGUUGAGUUUGAAGUUUUUUGAAGUUUGAAAGUGAUCAAUUUCGAGAUGAAUCAAGUUAGGGCAGAGAGUUGAGUUUUAAGUUUUUUGAAGUUUGAAAUGUUAGAAGGUUUAAAUUUGAUUGCAUGUCAUUAGUUACUUGCUUAAUUCAAGCUUAAUUCUCUUUCUCGGCUAUACGUGAUCAAUUUCGAGAUGAA